GGGCACGUCUGCCUGGGCGUCAAGCGUUGCGUCGCUCCGUGCCGACUCCGUCCCACAAACGCGUGCGCCGGCGUCGGCUCGGACGUGAAGAGUGGCUCGUCGUGCCCAUCGGUGCGGCGGGCUCAAGAGCGGGUUAUCGUCUCGUCGGCCGGCAACAACAAGGGGUGGAUGAAAGCUGUGAGCAGAAAGCCUGCGUUGUUUCUUGCUCGGCCCGAGGAAAGAUUACAUAUUUCAAGGUGAUCCCAGCCCAUGCGCCGAUCCACAGGCGGCGGCUUGGAAUGCGACCCCAGGAUGGGCGAGGCCACCCGCCGAGUUUAAGCAUAUCAAUAAGCGGAGGAGAAGAAACUUACGAGGAUUCCCCUAGUAACGGCGAGCGAACCGGGAUAUGCCCAGCAUGGGAAUCGGGCUGCCAUGCAGCAGCUCGAAUUGUAGUCU
rnacentral:rRNA from 1 species